GAUGAACGCUGGCGGCGUGCCUAACACAUGCAAGUCGAACGGAGUCGUUUUGGAAAUCUCUUCGGAGAUGGAAUUCUCGACUUAGUGGCGGACGGGUGAGUAACGCGUGAGCAAUCUGCCUUUAAGAGGGGGAUAACAGUCGGAAACGGCUGCUAAUACCGCAUAAAGCAUUAAAUUCGCAUGUUUUUGAUGCCAAAGGAGCAAUCCGCUUUUAGAUGAGCUCGCGUCUGAUUAGCUAGUUGGCGGGGUAACGGCCCACCAAGGCGACGAUCAGUAGCCGGACUGAGAGGUGGAACGGCCACAUUGGGACUGAGACACGGCCCAGACUCCUACGGGAGGCAGCAGUGGGGAAUAUUGCGCAAUGGGGGAAACCCUGACGCAGCAACGCCGCGUGAUGGAAGAAGGCCUUCGGGUUGUAAAGAUCUUUAAUCAGGGACGAAACAAAUGACGGUACCUGAAGAAUAAGCUCCGGCUAACUACGUG
rnacentral:rRNA from 1 species